UACGUAGGGGGCGAGCGUUGUCCGAAGUUACUGGGCGUAAAGAGCGCGUAGGCGGCCGCCUAAGUCAGACGUGAAAUCCCUCGGACUCGAACCGGGGAACUGCGUCUGAUACUGGGUGGCUUGAAUCCGGGAGAGGGAUGCAGAAUUCCAGGUGUAGCGGUGAAAUGCGUAGAUAUCUGGAGGAAUACCGGUGGCGAAGGCGGCAUCCUGGACCGGCAUUGACGCUGAGGAGCGAAAGCUAGGGGAGCAAACGGG
rnacentral:rRNA from 1 species